GAUAUCUGUUUUAGACAAAUCAAGCUUGCGAUGGUGACAUAAACAAACAAACCGACCCCCGCUGCGAUAAAGUGCAGGAGUCGAGAGUCACUAGUAAGGGAUGAGUUUGAUCAGAAGCAGAGCUCUGGGACGUGUGGACAGACUUUCACUGUAAUGAUGGACAUCCGCUGAUGGACAGGUGGGGAAGGGACGGC
rnacentral:lncRNA from 1 species